ensembl:lncRNA
GUGAACCAUUGAGAUUUUUUCUGACAUGAGGCACGGGCCGGUUAGGGUUGGGGUUAGGGUUAGCGGUUAGGGUUAGGGGGUUAGGGUUAGGUUUUAGGGUUAAGGUUAAGGUUAGGGUUAGGUUUUAGGGUUAGGUUUAGGGUUAGGUUUUAGGGUUAGGGUUAAGGUUAGGGUUAGGUUUUAGGGUUAAGGUUAAGGUUAGGGUUAGGUUUUAGGGUUAGGGUUAGGUUUUAGGGUUAAGGUUAGGUUUUAGGGUUAGGUUAGGGUUAGGGUUAGGG